CGGGUGAGUAUCGCGUGGGUAAUCUACCCUUGAAACCGGGAUAACAUUGCGAAAGCGAUGCUAAUACCGGAUAACAUCCACUAAACUUCGGUUUUAUGGAUCAAAGGUGGCCUCUACAUGUAAGCUAUUGUUUGAGGAUGAGCCCGCGUACCAUUAGCUAGUUGGUGGGGUAAAGGCCUACCAAGGCAACGAUGGUUAGCUGGUCUGAGAGGAUGAUCAGCCACACUGGAACUGACACACGGUCCAGACUCCUACGGGAGGCAGCAGUGAGGAAUUUUGCGCAAUGGGGGAAACCCUGACGCAGCAACGCCGCGUGAGUGAUGAAGGCCUUCGGGUCGUAAAACUCUGUCAAGUGGGAAGAACCUACGUAAGGAUAAUACCCUUAUGUACUGACGGUACCACUGAAGGAAGCACCGGCUAACUCCGUGCCAGCAGCCGCGGUAAUACGGAGGGUGCAAGCGUUAUUCGGAAUUAUUGGGCGUAAAGGGCGCGUAGGCGGUUUUGUAAGUCAGAUGUGAAAGCCCGGGGCUCAACCCCGGAAGUGCAUUUGAUACUGCAAGCUUUGAGUAUGGGAGGGGGAAGUGGAAUUCCUG
rnacentral:rRNA from 1 species